CAGGUGGACUUUAUUUAUGUGACUUCUAACUAAUUAAUUGUCACAUGAUCUCAGUGUAUAUAUACACCUCUUCUGAAAGGCCCCAGAGUCUGCAACACCACUAAGCAAGGGGCAUCACCAAGCAAGCAGCACCAUGAAGACCAAGGAGCUCUCCAAACAGAAUAUGGCGCAACAACAAACCUGCCAAGAGAGGGCCGCCCACCAAAACUCAGACCAGGCAAGGAGGGCAUUAAUCAGAGAGGCAACAAAGAGACCAAAGAUAACCCUGAAGGAGCUGCGAAGCUCCACAGCAGAGAUUGGAAUAUCUGUCCAUAGAACCACUUUAAGCCAUACACUCCAGAGCUGGGCUUUACGAAAGAGUGGCCAGAAAAAAAGCCAUUGCUUAAAGAAAAUAAUAAGCAAACACAUUUGAUGUUUGCCAUUAGGCAUGUGGGAGACUCCCCAAACAUAUGGAUGAAGGUACUCUGGUCAGAGGAGACUAAAAUUGAGCUUUUUGGCCAUCAAGGAAAAUGCUAUGUCUGGCGCAAACACCUCUCGUCACCCGAGAACACCCGUCACCACAGUGAAGCAUGGUGGUGGCAGCAUCAUGCUGGGGGGGAUGUUUUUCAUCGACGGGGACUAGGAAAGUGGUCUGAAUUGAAGGAAUGAUGGAUGGUGCUAAAUACAGGGAAAUUAUUGAGGGGAAACCUGUUUUUGUUUCAGUCUUCCAGAGAUAUGAGACUGGGAUGGAGGUUCACCUUCCAGCAGGACAAUGACCCUAAGCAUAAAGCAACACUCGAGUGGUUUAAGGGGAAAUAUUUAAAUGUCUUGGAAUGGCCUAGUCAAAACCCAGACCUCAAUCCAAUUGAGAAUCUGUGGUAAAGUAUUUCUGUACACCCACUGAACCCAUCCAACUUGAAGGAGCUGGAGCAGUUUUGCCUUGAAGAAUGGGCAAAAAUCCCAGUGGCUAGAUGUGCCAAGCUUAUAGAGACAUACCGCAAGAGACUUGUAGCUGCAAACGGUGACUUUACAAAGUAUUGACUUUGGGGGGGUGAAUAGUCAUGCACGCCCAAGUUUUGUCUCUCUUGCUUAUUUCACAAAAAAAUAUUUUGCAUCUUCAAAGUGGUAAGCAUGUUGUGUAAAUCAAAUGAUACAACCCCCCCCAAAAAAAAUCUACUUUUAAUUCCAGGUUGUAAAGGCAACAAAAUAGGAAAAAUGCCAAGGAGGGUGAAUACUUUUGCAAGCCACUGUAAAUCAAGUCCAAUCAAAUCCAGUUUGCUGCGCUAUUGUUGUUAGGUGAGUUUUAUCUCCAAAUUGUGACCUUAUACCUCCUGUUGUAUGCAGCUGAUGUGGGUCUAACAGUGGGUUUACUGGGUUUCUGAAGUAAUGUUUCUCUAACCUAAAGGUUGCUGUAAAAAAUAAGGGGGAAAAAGACGUUAGUAACCCGACACUGGAUUAAUUUUGACAAGUUUCACCAUGGCUCUCUUACAACAAGCUUCGAAUGAACACAACUUUUGAAUCUACUUGAAGAAGACAUAACUCUACUUUUCAUUAAAUGGGAUGAAAAACCGAAGUGUUCGAGGUCAGAGACAAAAUCUGCAUCUCAAAUGGCACCCUAUUCCCUCCAUAGUACAAUGCUUUUGAACUGAGCCCUGUUGGCUCUGGUCAAAGUAGUGCACUAUAUAUGUAAUAGGGUGCCAUUUUGGACGUAGCCAUAGACUGCAGGAUUGUCUGUGGAAGUUGAAUUACUGGAGCACUUUUACGAGGCGAUAAAGGAAAUGUAGCUAGAGUGAGAGAUGUGGUGACGGUGGUAGUCAGAAUGGUGUUUAGCCUAGUCUGCUGCUUCCCCGGGAGACUAAAACAAAAGUGAGGGACCCAUUCGCUGUCUUAUCUCAAUAAGUGGACACACAACAUUUGGUUCUUACAAAGAAAGACCAGCGAGAAUAACACUUGGUUGUUCAUUGUGCUUUGUAUAAAUUAGGGGUUUAGAGACUCUUUAGUGCUCUCAAGAUGAAAAAAAUAUUGUGUUGAGCGUGAAUAGUGUUCAGUGUGCCUUUUUUAAAACUUUGUUUUGAAUUAAGAUAAGAAUAUUUGAGCUUUUCUGGUUUUAAUUCCGUUCUGUUUUUAUUUUGGGGUAUCCUUUCUGGAAUUAAGUAGUCCCAGGUUUAACAAAGGUACAAAACCAAAGUCCCCUCAGAAGUUUCCCUGUACAACCCCACCAUGUGGAGUUAGGAGCUUCUUGGUUUUAGCUUCUUGACAGUGCUUUUUUUGGUCAAUCAGUAUAUGCCAUUUAAAGUAUUAUAGCAAUAUUUAAGUAAUAGUUGAAAAUAUACAGAAAAUAAUGAAGAUUAGUAGUGGAUGUGUUUCAGUAUCAUAAUUGCACCUCCUGCUGACAAACACCUGUUAGAAAAUCCAAUUUUAUAUUUACCUUCAUUGAUGUUGACCACACAUAAGCUAACUUGCUGUUGAGAUUAAAAAGGUUUAUCGAACUUGUGUGAGUAUCUUGAUCUAC
ensembl:lncRNA